GGGGAAUAUUGGACAAUGGGGGCAACCCUGAUCCAGCAAUGCCGCGUGUGUGAAGAAGGUCUUCGGAUUGUAAAGCACUUUCGACGGGGACGAUGAUGACGGUACCCGUAGAAGAAGCCCCGGCUAACUUCGUGCCAGCAGCCGCGGUAAUACGAAGGGGGCUAGCGUUGCUCGGAAUGACUGGGCGUAAAGGGCGUGUAGGCGGUUUACACAGUCAGAUGUGAAAUCCCCGGGCUUAACCUGGGAGCUGCAUUUGAUACGUGUAGACUAGAGUGUGAGAGAGGGUUGUGGAAUUCCCAGUGUAGAGGUGAAAUUCGUAGAUAUUGGGAAGAACACCGGUGGCGAAGGCGGCAACCUGGCUCAUGACUGACGCUGAGGCGCGAAAGCGUGGGGAGCAAACAGGAUUAGAUACCCUGGUAGUCCACGCUGUAAACGAUGUGUGCUAGAUGUUGGGUAACUUUGUUAUUCAGUGUCGCAGUUAACGCGUUAAGCACACCGCCUGGGGAGUACGGCCGCAAGGUUGAAAC
rnacentral:rRNA from 1 species